rnacentral:misc_RNA from 1 species
GAUGAAGAACGCAGCAAAAUGCGAUAAGUAAUGUGAAUUGCAGAAUUCAGUGAAUCAUCGAAUCUUUGAACGCACAUUGCGCCCGCUGGUAUUCCGGCGGGCAUGCCUGUUCGAGCGUCAUUUCAACCCUCAAGCCCCCGGGUUUGGUGUUGGGGAUCGGCUCUGCCCUUCUGGGCGGUGCCGCCCCCGAAAUACAUUGGCGGUCUCGCUGCAGCCUCCAUUGCGUAGUAGCUAACACCUCGCAACUGGAACGCGGCGCGGCCAUGCCGUAAAACCCCAACUUCUGAAUGUUGACCUCGGAUCAGGUAGGAAUACCCGCUGAACUUAAGCAUAUCAAUAAGCGGAGG